rnacentral:rRNA from 1 species
GACGAACGCUGGCGGCGUGCUUAACACAUGCAAGUCGAACGGAAAGGCCCUGCUUUUGUGGGGUGCUCGAGUGGCGAACGGGUGAGUAACACGCGAGUAACCUGCCCUUGACUUUGGGAUAACUUCAGGAAACUGGGGCUAAUACCGGAUAGGAGCUCCUGCUGCAUGGUGGGGGUUGGAAAGUUUCGGCGGUUGGGGAUGGACUCGCGGCUUAUCAGCUUGUUGGUGGGGUAGUGGCUUACCAAGGCUUUGACGGGUAGCCGGCCUGAGAGGGUGACCGGCCACAUUGGGACUGAGAUACGGCCCAGACUCCUACGGGAGGCAGCAGUGGGGAAUAUUGCACAAUGGGCGGAAGCCUGAUGCAGCAACGCCGCGUGCGGGAUGACGGCCUUCGGGUUGUAAACCGCUUUCGCCUGUGACGAAGCGUGAGUGACGGUAAUGGGUAAAAAAGCACCGGCUAACUACGUG